rnacentral:rRNA from 1 species
UACGUAGGCAGCGAGCGUUGUUCGGAAUUACUGGGCGUAAAGGGUGUGUAGGCGGUGCUCUAAGUCUGGUGUGAAAUCUCCCGGCUCAACUGGGAGGGUGCGCCGGAAACUAGAGUGCUCGAGGGUGGGAGAGGAAAGCGGAAUUCCUGGUGUAGCGGUGAAAUGCGUAGAUAUCAGGAGGAACACCUGUGGUGUAGACAGCUUUCUGGACCACUUCUGACGCUGAGACACGAAAGCGUGGGUAGCAAACAGG